CCCUUAGAUGUUCUGGGCGGCCCGCGCACUACAAUGGCGUGUGCAGCGAGUGCCGAAGUAGAGUUUUCCGAGGUAUUCUUGCAAUGCUCGUUUUGAUGGGGAUAGACCCUUGCAACUGUUGGUUUUGAACGAGGAAUUCCUUGUAAACAUGGUUUAUCAUCCGACGCUGAAUGCGUCCCUGCCCUUUGUACACACCGCCCGUCGCUCCUACCGAUGAGUCGUCCGGUGAAGUUCGUAGACCUCGUGAUUGCGGAUCACUGGGGGAAGCAAAAUGAACCUCGCGGUUUAGAGGAAGGAGAAGUCGUAACA
rnacentral:rRNA from 1 species